UAUGUCAACUGGUUGUCGGGGAAGAAAUUCCUUGGUAACGAAGCUAACGCGUGAAGUUGACCGCCUGGGGAGUACGGCCGCAAGGUUAAAACUCAAAGGAAUUGACGGGGACCCGCACAAGCGGUGGAUUAUGUGGAUUAAUUCGAUGCAACGCGAAAAACCUUACCUACCCUUGACAUGUACGGAACCCUCCAGAGAUGGAGGGGUGCCCGAAAGGGAGCCGUAACACAGGUGCUGCAUGGCUGUCGUCAGCUCGUGUCGUGAGAUGUUGGGUUAAGUCCCGCAACGAGCGCAACCCUUGCCAUUAGUUGCUACAUUCAGUUGGGCACUCUAAUGGGACUGCCGGUGACAAACCGGAGGAAGGUGGGGAUGACGUCAAGUCCUCAUGGCCCUUAUGGGUAGGGCUUCACACGUAAUACAAUGGCCGGUACAGAGGGCUGCCAACCCGCGAGGGGGCGCAAAUCCCAGAAAGCCGGUCGUAGUCCGGAUUGCAGUCUGCAACUCGACUGCAUGAAGCCGGAAUCGCUAGUAAUCGCGGAUCAGCACGUCGCGGUGAAUACGUUCCCGGGUCUUGUACACACCGCCCGUCACACCAUGGGAGUGGGUUUCACCAGAAGUAGGUAGCUUAACCGCAAGGAGGGCGCUUACCACGGUAGGAUUCGUGACUGGGGUGAAGUCGUAACAAGGUAACCAAGGG
rnacentral:rRNA from 1 species